UUAUUGGCCGAAAACCUAAGGUUUCCUGGGGAAGGUUCGUCCGCCCAGGGUUAGUCGGGACCUAAGCCGAGGCCGAAAGGCGUAGGUGAUGGACAAUCGGUUGAUAUUCCGAUACCGCCUAUUUACGGUUGAGAAAUGGGGUGACGCAGUAGGAUAAGAUGUGCGCACUAUUGGAUGUGCGUCUAAGCACUUAGGCAUGCUUGAUAGGCAAAUCCGUCGAGCUAAGCUGAGGUGUGAUGGGGAG
rnacentral:rRNA from 1 species